GACGAACGCUGGCGGCGUGCUUAACACAUGCAAGUCGAACGGAAAGGCCCUGCUUUUGUGGGGUGCUCGAGUGGCGAACGGGUGAGUAACACGUGAGUAACCUGUCCUUGACUUUGGGAUAACUUCAGGAAACUGGGGCUAAUACCGGAUAGGAGCUCCUGCUGCAUGGUGGGGGUUGGAAAGUUUCGGCGGUUGGGGAUGGACUCGCGGCUUAUCAGCUUGUUGGUGGAGUAGUGGCUUACCAAGGCUUUGACGGGUAGCCGGCCUGAGAGGGUGACCGGCGACAUUGGGACUGAGAUACGGACCAGACUCCUACGGGAGGCAACAGUGGGGAAUAUUGCACAAUGGGCGGAAGCCUGAUGCAGCAACGCCGCGUGCGGGAUGACGGCCUUCGGGUUGUAAACCGCUUUCGCCUGUGACGAAGCGUGAGUGACGGUAAUGGGUAAAGAAGCACCGGCUAACUACGUG
rnacentral:rRNA from 1 species